GAGUUUGAUCGUGGCUCAGGAUGAACGCUGGCGGCGUGCUUAACACAUGCAAGUCGAACGGGGUUAUGAAGUGUGAGGAGUCAGCUUGCUGGUGACGAACAGUUCAUAACUUAGUGGCGGACGGUGAGUAACGCGUGGGUAACCUGCCAUAUACAGGGGGAUAACACUUAGAAAUAGGUGCUAAUACCGCAUAAGCGCACGGAGCUGCAUGGCUCAGUGUGAAAAACUCCGGUGGUAUAUGAUGGACCCGCGUCUGAUUAGCUUGUUGGCGGGGUAACGGCCCACCAAGGCGACGAUCAGUAGCCGGCCUGAGAGGGUGGACGGCCACAUUGGGACUGAGACACGGCCCAAACUCCUACGGGAGGCAGCAGUGGGGAAUAUUGGACAAU
rnacentral:rRNA from 1 species